rnacentral:rRNA from 1 species
GACGAACGCUGGCGGCGUGCUUAACACAUGCAAGUCGAACGAAGUGGCGAACGGGUGAGUAAUACGUGAGUAACAUGCACUCCUUUAUGGGAUAAGCCUUGGAAACGGGGUCUAAUACCGGAUAAAGGGCGAGGGGCUCGCGGCCUAUGCGCUGGUUGGUGGGGUUAUGGCGUACCAAGGCGGUGACGGGUAGCCGGGCUGAGACGGUGGCCGGACACAUCGAUACUGGGCUCCGGCCCAGACUGCUACGGGGGGGAGCAGUGGGGGAUAUGGCACAAAGGGCGACAGACUGAUGCAGCGAGGCCGAGUGGGGUCUGUAGGCUUUAGGGUUGUAGAAGUCGUUCGCUAGCGAACGGGUAGGUGGAGAAGAAGCGCCGGCUAACUACGUGCCAGCAGCCGCGGUAAUUC